AAGACACAGGAGAGUGCCUGUGUCCUGCGGGAUUCAAGGGACCCGGAUGUGAGAUGCAGUGCGGCCCUGGGCGGUACGGGCUCGGGUGCCAGCAGCAGUGUGAGUGCCGAAAUGGUGCGACCUGUGACCCUGCGACAGGUCAAUGCACCUGUCCGCCGGGCUGGAUCGGGCCAACGUGUCAGGAGAAAGACCUGUCAGUGUUCACCACACACCCAGACCACCGGGACCGCUCAGACAUCCCCGUGGAAGAUAGUUGAGACCACUCUUCGCCCCUCUACACAUCGUCAGCUCACGUCGAACCUCUGAAAUUACAUCACGUCUCUAUACUUUAUGCGUCGGAAACCUACGUCACGUGAUAUUAUGACGUGAUACCUACGUCACAUCUCCACACUGCUGACGUCACGUGAUGUUAUGACGUGAGACCUACGUUACAUCUCCACCCUGCCGACGUCACGUGAUGUUACGACGUGAGACCUACGUCACAUCUCCACCCUGCCGACGUCAUGUGAUGUUACGACGUGAGACCUACGUCACAUCUCCACCCUGCCGACGUCACGUGAUGUUACGACGUGAGACCUACGUCACAUCAACACACUGAUGACGUCACGCCAGCCUAUGCCUUGCACGCCAAGCCAAUACACGCAGACUCCUCGUGCAACAGCUAAGGCAGGCAUGGUUGUUGCAAAAGCCUUUUCUCGCAGCCGGUCGUUUGCAACUGGCUUCCACGUACCUUCUGUAAAUAUAGAUAAUUUAUAUAUUUGGGAAAGUUGGUCAUUUGUAAUCGGACGGAAAAGUACUGGAAUCUUGACUAUUCAUGAUGGGAAAAUAUGAGAACUGCAUGUGUAUGUGCGUGUGUGAGAGCAUGUGUAUGCGUAUGAU